ensembl:lncRNA
ACUUUGCGCAUGCACACUUCCUGCUUGGUAUUCUGACUAUGAAGACCCUCUGGAUGAACCACUAGCUCUAGCUGUUGAUCUGGGUAAUGUAUCUCAAUUCAGAGUGAGAAAUUCUGAGACCAAGCAGGGAAAAGAUGUGUGAUGGAGGUAUUACUGAAGUGUUUCGCUGGGUAUGAGAUAAGCAAGAGGAGAAUUCCUGAGUUCUGGACCCUACUCUACCCCUAACAACCUGUGGGACUUGAGCACCUAUCUAGGCCAUGAAGCUGUUCCUGCUGCCUGUGACACCCUGAGAGGGCCUCCCCCAAGUUGGAGGGGGGAGCAUCAGUCCUUAGUGGGGGUGAAGGCAAUGAGGGGUCACAAA